GACGAACUUUGGCGGCGUGCUUAACACAUGCAAGUCGAACGGAAAGGCCCUGCUUUUGUGGGGUGCUCGAGUGGCGAACGGGUGAGUAACACGUGAGUAACCUGCCCUUGACUUUGGGAUAACUUCAGGAAACUGGGGCUAAUACCGGAUAGGAGCUCCUGCUGCAUGGUGGGGGUUGGAAAGUUUCGGCGGUUGGGGAUGGACUCGCGGCUUAUCAGCUUGUUGGUGGGGUAGUGGCUUACCAAGGCUUUGACGGGUAGCCGGCCUGAGAGGGUGACCGGCCACAUUGGGACUGAGAUACGGCCCAGACUCCUACGGGAGGCAGCAGUGGGGAAUAUUGCACAAUGGGCGGAAGCCUGAUGCAGCAACGCCGCGUGCGGGAUGACGGCCUUCGGGUUGUAAACCGCUUUCGCCUGUGACGAAGCGUGAGUGACGGUAAUGGGUAAAGAAGCACCGGCUAACUACGUGCCAGCAGCCGCGGUGAUACGUAGGGUGCGAGCGUUGUCCGGAUUUAUUGGGCGUAAAGGGCUCGUAGGUGGUUGAUCGCGUCGGAAGUGUAAUCUUGGGGCUUAACCCUGAGCGUGCUUUCGAUACGGGUUGACUUGAGGAAGGUAGGGGAGAAUGGAAUUCCUGGUGGAGCGGUGGAAUGCGCAGAUAUCAGGAGGAACACCAGUGGCGAAGGCGGUUCUCUGGGCCUUUCCUGACGCUGAGGAGCGAAAGCGUGGGGAGCGAACAGGCUUAGAUACCCUGGUAGUCCACGCUGUAAACGGUGGGUACUAGGUGUGGGGUCCAUUCCACGGGUUCCGUGCCGUAGCUAACGCUUUAAGUACCCCGCCUGGGGAGUACGGCCGCAAGGCUAAAACUCAAAGGAAUUGGCGGGGCCCCGCACAAGCGGCGGAGCAUGCGGAUUAAUUCGAUGCAACGCGUAGAACCUUACCUGGGUUUGACAUGGAUCGGGAGUGCUCAGAGAUGGGUGUGCCUCUUUUGGGGUCGGUUCACAGGUGGUGCAUGCCUGUCGUCAGCUCGUGUCGUGAGAUGUUGGGUUAAGUCCCGCAACGAGCGCAACCCUUGUUCACUGUUGCCAGCACGUUAUGGUGGGGACUCAGUGGAGACCGCCGGGGUCAACUCGGAGGAAGGUGGGGAUGACGUCAAGUCAUCAUGCCCCUUAUGUCCAGGGCUUCACGCAUGCUACAAUGGCUGGUACAGAGAGUGGCGAGCCUGUGAGGGUGAGCGAAUCUCGGAAAGCCGGUCUCAGUUCGGAUUGGGGUCUGCAACUCGACCUCAUGAAGUCGGAGUCGCUAGUAAUCGCAAAUCAGCAACGCUGCGGUGAAUACGUUCCCGGGGCC
rnacentral:rRNA from 1 species